UUAAGCGACUAAGCGUACACGGUGGAUGCCCUGGCAGUCAGAGGCGAUGAAGGACGUGCUAAUCUGCGAAAAGCGCCGGCGAGGUGAUAUGAACCCUUGACCCGGCGAUGUCCGAAUGGGGAAACCCAGUGUGUUUCGACACACUAUCGUUAACUGAAUACAUAGGUUAACGAGGCGAACCGGGGGAACUGAAACAUCUAAGUACCCCGAGGAAAAGAAAUCAACCGAGAUUCCCCCAGUAGCGGCGAGCGAACGGGGAGCAGCCCGGAGUCUGAAUCAGCUUGUGUGUUAGUGGAACGGUCUGGAAAGUCCGACGGUACAGGGUGAUAGUCCCGUACACGAAAAUGCACAGGUUGUGAACUCGAAGAGUAGGGCGGGACACGUGGUAUCCUGUCUGAAUAUGGGGGGACCAUCCUCCAAGGCUAAAUACUCCUGACUGACCGAUAGUGAACCAGUACCGUGAGGGAAAGGCGAAAAGAACCCCGGCGAGGGGAGUGAAAAAGAACCUGAAACCGUGUACGUACAAGCAGUGGGAGCCUCUUUAUGGGGUGACUGCGUACCUUUUGUAUAAUGGGUCAGCGACUUAUAUUCUGUAGCAAGGUUAACCGUAUAGGGGAGCCGAAGGGAAACCGAGUCUUAACUGGGCGUUAAGUUGCAGGGUAUAGACCCGAAACCCGGUGAUCUAGCCAUGGGCAGGUUGAAGGUUGGGUAACACUAACUGGAGGACCGAACCGACUAAUGUUGAAAAAUUAGCGGAUGACCUGUGGCUGGGGGUGAAAGGCCAAUCAAACCGGGAGAUAGCUGGUUCUCCCCGAAAGCUAUUUAGGUAGCGCCUCGUGAACUCAUCUUCGGGGGUAGAGCACUGUUUCGGCUAGGGGGCCAUCCCGGCUUACCAACCCGAUGCAAACUACGAAUACCGAAGAAUGUUAUCACGGGAGACACACGGCGGGUGCUAACGUCCGUCGUGAAGAGGGAAACAACCCAGACCGCCAGCUAAGGUCCCAAAGUCAUGGUUAAGUGGGAAACGAUGUGGGAAGGCACAGACAGCCAGGAUGUUGGCUUAGAAGCAGCCAUCAUUUAAAGAAAGCGUAAUAGCUCACUGGUCGAGUCGGCCUGCGCGGAAGAUGUAACGGGGCUAAACCAUGCACCGAAGCUGCGGCAGCGACACUUAUGUGUUGUUGGGUAGGGGAGCGUUCUGUAAGCCGUUGAAGGUGUGCUGUGAGGCAUGCUGGAGGUAUCAGAAGUGCGAAUGCUGACAUAAGUAACGAUAAAGCGGGUGAAAAGCCCGCUCGCCGGAAGACCAAGGGUUCCUGUCCAACGUUAAUCGGGGCAGGGUGAGUCGACCCCUAAGGCGAGGCCGAAAGGCGUAGUCGAUGGGAAACAGGUUAAUAUUCCUGUACUUGGUGUUACUGCGAAGGGGGGACGGAGAAGGCUAUGUCAGCCGGGCGACGGUUGUCCCGGUUUAAGCAUGUAGGCGGAGGUUCCAGGUAAAUCCGGUACCUUGUUAACGCUGAGGUGUGAUGACGAGGCACUACGGUGCUGAAGUGAUAAAUGCCCUGCUUCCAGGAAAAGCCUCUAAGCAUCAGGUAACACGAAAUCGUACCCCAAACCGACACAGGUGGUCAGGUAGAGAAUACCAAGGCGCUUGAGAGAACUCGGGUGAAGGAACUAGGCAAAAUGGUGCCGUAACUUCGGGAGAAGGCACGCUGAUGUGUAGGUGAAGCCCCUGCGGGCGGAGCUGAAAUCAGUCGAAGAUACCAGCUGGCUGCAACUGUUUAUUAAAAACACAGCACUGUGCAAACACGAAAGUGGACGUAUACGGUGUGACGCCUGCCCGGUGCCGGAAGGUUAAUUGAUGGGGUUAGCGGCAACGCGAAGCUCUUGAUCGAAGCCCCGGUAAACGGCGGCCGUAACUAUAACGGUCCUAAGGUAGCGAAAUUCCUUGUCGGGUAAGUUCCGACCUGCACGAAUGGCGUAAUGAUGGCCAGGCUGUCUCCACCCGAGACUCAGUGAAAUUGAACUCGCUGUGAAGAUGCAGUGUACCCGCGGCAAGACGGAAAGACCCCGUGAACCUUUACUAUAGCUUGACACUGAACACUGGUCCUUGAUGUGUAGGAUAGGUGGGAGGCUUUGAAGCGUGGACGCCAGUCUGCGUGGAGCCAUCCUUGAAAUACCACCCUUUAAUGGCUGGUGUUCUAACGUAGACCCGUGAUCCGGGUUGCGGACAGUGUCUGGUGGGUAGUUUGACUGGGGCGGUCUCCUCCCAAAGAGUAACGGAGGAGCACGAAGGUUGGCUAAUCCUGGUCGGACAUCAGGAGGUUAGUGCAAUGGCAUAAGCCAGCUUGACUGCGAGCGUGACGGCGCGAGCAGGUGCGAAAGCAGGUCAUAGUGAUCCGGUGGUUCUGAAUGGAAGGGCCAUCGCUCAACGGAUAAAAGGUACUCCGGGGAUAACAGGCUGAUACCGCCCAAGAGUUCAUAUCGACGGCGGUGUUUGGCACCUCGAUGUCGGCUCAUCACAUCCUGGGGCUGAAGUAGGUCCCAAGGGUAUGGCUGUUCGCCAUUUAAAGUGGUACGCGAGCUGGGUUUAGAACGUCGUGAGACAGUUCGGUCCCUAUCUGCCGUGGGCGCUGGAGAAUUGAGGGGGGCUGCUCCUAGUACGAGAGGACCGGAGUGGACGCAUCACUGGUGUUCGGGUUGUCAUGCCAAUGGCACUGCCCGGUAGCUAAAUGCGGAAGAGAUAAGUGCUGAAAGCAUCUAAGCACGAAACUUGCCCCGAGAUGAGUUCUCCCUGAGACCUUGAGUCUCCUGAAGGAACGUUGAAGACGACGACGUUGAUAGGUCGGGUGUGUAAGCGCAGCGAUGCGUUGAGCUAACCGAUACUAAUGAACCGUGAGGCUUAACCUU
rnacentral:rRNA from 2 species